AAUCUGCACAGCCGAGUUAUCUCUUUAGGAGCCUUCCUCUGAUGUUUGAAACAUAAUUAUCUUUCUAUAGAUAGCGUUUUUUUUUCUUAUUUCGGGAAUGUAACGUAUACCAGUGACAUUUGGAAUUUGGAAUUAUACAGCUAUCUGGUUGAAAUUUGGCCAGUUGACAGUGCUUAACCAAAGAAUAUUGAUGUUUGAGCAUGAAAUUGUAAAUAUACUAAUACAUAAUAUAAAUUAAUAAUACAUUAUUUUCUUAUAUAGUUUUGACAUUUUAACAUUUACACUCAAGGCAAUGGAAAUAAAAAGUGAGUCGGUUUCAUUUAAGGGACUGUACACUGGAUUGGCACUAAAGAAUUUUUUUUCUAUAACGAAUCUCAGGGCAAUUAUUUUGUUUGCAAUAAUUGAUAGGACCAGCUCAUUUGAAUGAACCCAAUGGGUAUUGCACAUAUUAAUUGCUAGAGCCACUGAUGGAAUAUCACUUUAUUAUACCCCCCAAAACAAAGUUUGGGGGGGGGUAUACUGGAAUCGGGUUGUCCGUCUGUCUGUCCGUCUGUCCGUCCGUUAUUUUUUUGUCCGGGAUUCAUCUUUGUCGUUAUUGAACAAAUCUUUUUCAAACUUUCAGAUAUUAAUGGCCAUGAUGUAAACUUGCGCCUCUGUGAAAUUGGUACGGGUCACAUGACCCUGACCAGAGUUAUCUCCCCUUGAUGUGUUAAAGUAGGCAAAAUAAGCCCUGUCCGGGAUUCAUCUUUGUUAUUAUUCAACAAAUCUUUAUCAAACUUUCAGAAAUUAAUGGCCAUGAUGUAAACUUGCGCCUCUGUGAAAUUGGUACGGGUCACAUGACCCUGACUGGAGUUAUCUCCCCUUGAUGUGUUAAAGUAGGCAAAAUAAGCCCUGUCCGGGAUUCAUCUUUGUUAUUAUUCAACAAAUCUUUAUCAAACUUUCAGAAAUUAAUGGCCAUGUUGUAAACUUUCGCCUCUGUGAAUUUGGUACAGGUCACAUGACUCUGACUGGAGUUAUCUCCCCUUGAUGUGUUAAAGUAGGCAAAAUAAGCCCUGUCCGGGAUUCAUCUUUGUUAUUAUUCAACAAAUCUUUAUCAAACUUUCAGAAAUUAAUGGCCAUGUUGUAAACUUUCGCCUCUGUGAAUUUGGUACAGGUCACAUGACCCUGACUGGAGUUAUCUCCCCUUGAUGUGUUAAAGUAGGCAAAAUAAGCCCUGUCCGGGAUUCAUCUUUGUUAUUAUUCAACAAAUCUUUAUCAAACUUUCAGAAAUUAAUGGCCAUGUUGUAAACUUUCGCCUCUGUGAAUUUGGUACAGGUCACAUGACCCUGACUGGAGUUAUCUCCCCUUGAUGUGUUAAAGUAGGCAAAAUAAGCCCUGUCCGGGAUUCAUCUUUGUUAUUAUUCAACAAAUCUUUAUCAAACUUUCAGAAAUUAAUGGCCAUGUUGUAAACUUUCACCUCUGUGAAUUUGGUACAGGUCACAUGACCCUGACUUGAGUUAUCUCCCCUUGUAGGCAAAAUUAGCUUUGUCCGGCCUAACUCCAGGGCAAACAACCUAGACAUGGAGGGGUGGGGGGUAUUCGUUAGCCUAUGGCUUACAGUUCUAGUUUAUUUAAGGGGCUGCUGAUCUUUUGGUUAAUCCUCAUCUUGGAGGACUCCUUUGAGAGCUUGUGGAUGCAGUAAUCUGCACAGCCGAGUUAUCUCUUUAGGAGCCUUCCUCUGAUGUUUGAAACAUAAUUAUCUUUCUAUAGGUCGCGUUUUUUUUCUUAUUUCGGGAAUGUAACGUAUACCAGUGACAUUUGGAAUUUGGAAUUAUACAGCUAUCUGGUUGAAAUUUGGCCAGUUGACAGUGCUUAACCAAAGAAUAUUGAUGUUUGAGCAUGAAAUUGUAAAUAUACUAAUACAUAAGCGAUUAUCACCGAAAUAGGGUGUCCAUCGCUGACAAAUCGAUAAUUUUCGAUUAUCACCGAUAUCUGGUGUCUAUAGCCCAUUCUUCAAUGAUAUUCAAUGGACGCCGAUUAUGAACUUACACAGCUUUUGUCUUUGACAAGCACCAUCUUUCAAAGAUUGCAUACUAUCUAGACUUCAGGUAAAUGAAUUAAGUAAUUUAGUAAGCUUUGACUCUUUCCACAUCUUCUAUUAGUCAAAAGUUUGAAGUCAUGCCCUAAAUUUGUAUUUUUAUACUAGUUAGUAUUCAAAAUCAGGGAAUUUAGGCUUGGAAUUUAGGCUUAUUAUAUAGGAAAUCUAAAGUAAGAAUUUCAUAAAGAAACUGCAUCAUAAUUCAUCAAAAGAUCUUAAUUUGGUCCCAUCUUUCAGACAUAAAGUCUGGGUCCCUAGCGAACUUUUUUUAUUUCCUUCAGUUUGUGCUGAGUGGGAAUAAAUAAAUGGUAAUAAGUCAUUCCUACAUCUAUAUUUGAUGUCACAUUACAUCCCCAAAUGUCAGCCAUUAAUGGUAUGGAAUCAUUAUGAUGCUUGCCUGGGAAAAAUGAGUCAAUAUGAUGCAUGUGUAACGGCAUUUCAUUACAACUGUUUUAAUUGGUUCUUGGUUUGCAACAAUGCACAAUCAAUAUCGUCAGCACUCAAUAUGCUUCGGCUUUGGUCAAAAUGGCGGCGGUUGGUGGAACUACUGGAAGACGGAAAAACAGAAUACACCUAAAUGGCUGCUGUGUUGAAAUAUUUUUUGGCAGGACAAAGUGUGUUUAUUUAUACUAAAUAUUUAUGUCUUGUGUGUUUAUAUGGUUAUUUUUGUGAGAAAGAUUAGGAAAGCAUUUAAACCGCUUACCGGUAAUAUUCAUUUUUGUUUACUCUCUUUGUAUACUCUUCAAUGACAUGUUUGUUCAGACUGGCAAAUAUUUUUUUGGACAAGCAAAAACUUCCAACGUGCCUGUCCAGCGGCCAGGCAAAAAUUUUACAAUUUCAGGAAGAUUAUACAUUUUGUUAAUUUUAGAUCUUUAUGAGUCCACUGUCAAGUAUCAAGAUGCUCUGGGUGAGCACUGGGUGACAAAGGCUGCCCGCAGUAAAAGUUGUUUCUUUUUUCUUGAGAGAUAGUUCCAGUGAAUUUCCCAGUUGCAGUGGUUUUGAUGUCACAGAACCAGAGUCAGCUCCAUGACACAGAUACAUGUUUCGGCAUUGUUGUUAGUACAGCUGUAUUGGAGUCCUCACAAUUUUUGUAUAGAAAUGUCAUCUGACUCACUCAAAACUGCCUAACUGUCAUAGCUAACAUAAGUGCAUGGACAUUCUCUGUCAUUUUCAGAUACACUGUGUUGUGUGUAGGCAGAAAUGCUGAAUGGUACCAUCAGUUCCUUAAGCCACCAUUCCUCUCACAGACAAAAGGCUCAUUGGGAUGGUCCCUGCAGUUUACAGCAAAGCUCUCAAUUGUAGCCCUACAAACUUCAGAUUAAAUGCCGAGCGCUGGUGCACCAAGCCGGUUUUCCAGCCUUGUGGAAUUGACAUUUCCAGCUGCACUGGGCCCGGGAAUAAUAUUGGACUCCUUACCAGCACGGACCUCUUUCUUGAGAAGAAUGGAUUCAGAGAUGCGGCCAUGACUGUGGCACAUGGACGUUAUAGAUAGUGACUGUAAAAAAAAAUGAUAAUAGCAGAAAAACGAAACUAUCUUGAUAUAGUUUUCUGGUGUUGAAUCAACAGACAGUGUUCAUAAUUUGUUGGAAAAUAGUGUCAUAGCUGAAAUCUCUUCCGCAAAUUCACUUUAAAGUGGUGAACAGGAGUGAUUUUACAUAUAACAAAAGUGGCAAUUUCGUUGUGUGCCGUCCCGACAUGCUUUAGAGCACUAAAAUACUGCAUUACUUGACUCGUGUUACUUAAAAAUCCCAAACUGUUUUAUCUUAAUUCAUGAACCUUAGGGCAAUACUAAUGGGGUGUUGAAGUUUUGCACUUGUUUUUUUUUUUUUUUUUUUUUUAGCUGCCCUUAAUAAAACAUGUGUUAUCGCUCUUGAUUGAGCAAAAAAAAAGGUAUUUCUUGUCCGGAUUCCAAAAACUACAGUAUAUUACAAAUAGUCAUGAAAGCUUGGGGGAAUAUAAAUGAGGUUAUUAGUUGUGCAUCUGGUGUUUUGUUACCUGCUGCAAAGAGUAUAACAAGUGAAAAGCCCUUGAAUAAGCAAAAAGUGGAUUUUUGGAUUGCUCCACUAGUCACGCUUUCAGGGAGAUAUUUAAUGUUAAUAAGUUGUGGAGCUCAUUAUGUUGAUGCAGAUGGUUGAAGAAAGGACAAUAAUCGCCAUGCAGUUGUGACAAACUCGGCCUAUUUUAGCAUAUGUUAUCCUAUGGACACAUUUCUCUUUGAACUUGUGCCAUUAAAUGAAGAUUAUGUUUCCUCAAGGUAAUGCCUAGUUUGAAAAUAUUUGCCAUUGACGUUUUCACUUUAUUCGGGAUUGUUGGGAAAAUAGUGAAGUUGUGCACACAAACUGGUUUUAAACCCGCAGUAAAUAAUUCUUCGGACCGUUCCAAGGCGAUGGGUGGCAAUCCUUGAUAAACACACCUAGUUCCUUUAUAAAGUAUAUAUGCACUUUGUUGUUUGUGAAGUUUUGUGCUGUUGUUCCAUGUUUCCUGUUUGUAAUUCUUUGUUUUAAUAUGUGCUCUAUAUCUUUUGCGUUUACCCUGUGCCAUGAAGUGUGGUAUAUGUUUAAACUUUUGGCUACUGAGCUUGUUUCUGUAGUUUUUCAUAUAAAAUUGUAAGUUUACUUUUCGACAUCUGGUAUCUUUAAUUAAAUCCCAGUUUGCCAUGGAACAAUUUUGAAAUUAAAUAUUAUCCAAGUAAGAGAAACGAAGAAUGCUAAAGUGCCUAGAAUUCAGUAUAUAUUUUAGCAGUCUAAAAAUAGGUUAUAAAAUGUAGUUAUUGUUCCAUUACCCAGACAUAAUCAUUUUAUUUUUAGAAAUAUUAUCCAUAGUUGAAUAAAAAAAGUGCAGAAGUUUUACAUUUCAUGCUAAGUCGGCUAUAAAAGCUCUUCAGAGCUUGUGUUUCCAUAUGUUGUAAACCCGACUUUAUAAAUAUAACUUGAUGCUCAGAUUAGAGUUAUAAGCCAAAAUUAUAUUUGUCAAAAAAUAUCUGGUGUACCUUUUGUUUCUUUUUAUUAAUUAACCCACAUAAUAAGUUGAUAAUUUUGUAUAUUACAGUAAAAGAGUGCUUAGAUUAUGGUUUUACAUUUUACUUUUGCAGUUGUAAAAUAGCUGAAUUGCUCAUGUUUCUUGU